rnacentral:rRNA from 1 species
CCUACGGGGGGCUGCAGUAGGGAAUCUUCCGCAAUGGACGAAAGUCUGACGGAGCAACGCCGCGUGAGCGAAGAAGGUCUUCGGAUCGUAAAGCUCUGUUGUUAGGGAAGAACAAGUACGGGAGGAAAUGACCAUACCUUGACGGUACCUGACGAAGAAGCCACGGCUAACUACGUGCCAGCAGCCGCGGUAAUACGUAGGUGGCAAGCGUUGUCCGGAAUUAUUGGGCGUAAAGCGCGCGCAGGCGGUCUUUUAAGUCUGAUGUGAAAUCUUGCGGCUGAACCGCAAGCGGACAUUGGAAACUGGGAGACUUGAGGGCAGAAGAAGGAAGCGGAAUUCCACGUGUAGAGGUGAAAUGCGUAGAGGUGUGGGGGAACACCAGAGGCGAAGGCGGCUUUCUUGUCUGUAACUGGCGCUGAGGCGCGAAAGCGUGGGGAGCAAACAGGAUUCGAUACCCUGGUAGUC